UAUCGUUUAUUUGAUAGUACCUUACUACUUGGAUACCUGUGGUAAUUCUAGAGCUAAUACAUGCUAAAAACCCCGACUUCAGGAAGGGGUGUAUUUAUUAGAUAAAAAACCAACGCCCUUCGGGGCUCCUUGGUGAAUCAUAAUAACUUAACGAAUCGCAUGGCCUUGCGCCGGCGAUGGUUCAUUCAAAUUUCUGCCCUAUCAACUUUCGAUGGUAGGAUAGUGGCCUACCAUGGUGGCAACGGGUAACGGGGAAUUAGGGUUCGAUUCCGGAGAGGGAGCCUGAGAAACGGCUACCACA
rnacentral:rRNA from 1 species